rnacentral:rRNA from 1 species
UACGUAGGCAGCAAGCGUUGUUCGGAGUUACUGGGCGUAAAGGGUGUGUAGGCGGUUCCUUAAGUUUGCUGUGAAAUCUCCCGGCUUAACCGGGAGGGUGCGGUGAAUACUGAGGGACUAGAGUACGGGAGGGGAGAGCGGAAUUCCUAGUGUAGCGGUGAAAUGCGCAGAUAUUAGGAAGAACGACCGCGGGCGAAGGCGGCUCUCUGGAACGGUACUGACGCUGAGACGCGGAAA